UACGUAGGGUCCGAGCGUUGUCCGGAAUCAUUGGGCGUAAAGAGCGUGUAGGCGGCCCGAUAAGUCCGCUGUGAAAGUCCAGGCUCAACCCUGGAAUGCCGGUGGAUACUGUCGGGCUCGAAUCCGGAAGAGGUGAGUGGAAUUCCUGGUGUAGCGGUGAAAUGCGCAGAUAUCAGGAGGAACACCAAUGGCGAAGGCAGCUCACUGGGACGGUAUUGACGCUGAGACGCGAAAGCGUGGGGAGCAAACAGG
rnacentral:rRNA from 1 species